rnacentral:rRNA from 1 species
CGUACACUCCUGCGGGAGGCAGCAGUGGGGAAUAUUGCACAAUGGGCGCAAGCCUGAUGCAGCCAUGCCGCGUGUAUGAAGAAGGCCUUCGGGUUGUAAAGUACUUUCAGCGGGGAGGAAGGCGAUAAGGUUAAUAACCUUGUCGAUUGACGUUACCCGCAGAAGAAGCACCGGCUAACUCCGUGCCAGCAGCCGCGGUAAUACGGAGGGUGCAAGCGUUAAUCGGAAUUACUGGGCGUAAAGCGCACGCAGGCGGUCUGUCAAGUCGGAUGUGAAAUCCCCAGGCUCAACCUGGGAACUGCAUUCGAAACUGGCAGGCUAGAGUCUUGUAGAGGGGGGUAGAAUUCCAGGUGUAGCGGUGAAAUGCGUAGAGAUCUGGAGGAAUACCGGUGGCGAAGGCGGCCCCCUGGACAAAGACUGACGCUCAGGUGCGAAAGCGUGGGGAGCAAACAGGAUUAGAAACCCCGGUAGUCCCAU